rnacentral:rRNA from 1 species
AUACGUAGGUGACAAGCGUUAUCCGGAUUUACUGGGUGUAAAGGGCGUGUAGGCGGUUUAGCAAGUCAGAAGUGAAAUUCCCGGGCUUAACUUGGGCGCUGCUUCUGAAACUGCUUUACUUGAGUGCUGGAGAGGAUAGUGGAAUUCCUAGUGUAGCGGUAAAAUGCGCAGAUAUUAGGAGGAACACCGGUGGCGAAGGCGGCUAUCUGGACAGUAACUGACGCUGAGGCGCGAAAGCACGGGGAGCAAACAGGAUUAGAUACCCUGGUAGUCCACGCGGUAAACGAUGAAUGCUUGGUGUUGCGGGUAUCGACCCCUGCAGUGCCGGAGUAAACACAAUAAGCAUUCCGCCUGGGGAGUACGGCCGCAAGGUUGAAACUCAAAGGAAUUGACGGGG